CAGCAGCCACGGUAAUACGUAGGGUGCAAGCGUUAAUCGGAAUUACUGGGCGUAAAGCGUGCGCAGGCGGUUAUAUAAGACAGAUGUGAAAUCCCCGGGCUCAACCUGGGACCUGCAUUUGUGACUGUAUAGCUAGAGUACGGUAGAGGGGGAUGGAAUUCCGCGUGUAGCAGUGAAAUGCGUAGAUAUGCGGAGGAACACCGAUGGCGAAGGCAAUCCCCUGGACCUGUACUGACGCUCAUGCACGAAAGCGUGGGGAGCAAACAGGAUUAGAUACCCCCGUAGUCCCUGUCUCUUAUAC
rnacentral:rRNA from 1 species